UACGUAGGGUGCGAGCGUUAAUCGGAAUUACUGGGCGUAAAGCGUGCGCAGGCGGUUCGUUGUGUCGGCGGUGAAAGCCCCGGGCUUAACCUGGGAAUGGCCGUUGAAACUGGCGAACUGGAGUGUGGCAGAGGGGGGUGGAAUUCCGCGUGUAGCAGUGAAAUGCGUAGAGAUGCGGAGGAACACCGAUGGCGAAGGCAGCCCCCUGGGCUAACACUGACGCUCAGGCACGAAAGCGUGGGGAGCAAACAGGA
rnacentral:rRNA from 2 species